UUCGAUGCCCAAUUCAGAGUUACGUAACAGGCUUACUGCUUUCUCUUAGAGAGAGAAAAAAUGCUAUCAUUGGCUGCGGCCAUCACCACGCACAACGACGGCUGGCGUUCCUUUUUCUCUUGCCCCGCUCUUCGCUGGAUCCAACUCUCAAAGCAACAUGCUAAUUAAUGGCUAUUGCCGUUGGUCAUGAUUUUUUCUGCUGAUUUUUUCAUCUUCCUAUGGAUUUGUUUCUUCCUAUAAAUACUUCCCAUCCCAGUGCCAGUGCUGGUAGAUGCAGAUUUACAUCAAUUUGCAAUUAGCCAAAGCAAAAUCUAGGCUGAUGGUUCAAGGUCUCAAAAAAUUCAUGUAACUUUCAAAUCCUUUCCUCUUUGGCCCUUGUACUGUGGUCUAUUCUUGGUUUUCCAGUGAAUCACUCUUCUUUUUUUACAUGUACAAUGUGUGCUUGUGCAGGCGCUGCUUUCAGGAGACAAUGAGUCCGGAACAGAUGAGUGAGGAUCAUAACUGGAUGGUUUCAUAGUUGGAUUUCUACCAGUCCAACAGAUUCAUGUCAUCUGGCUAUUUUUCUGUAAGUAUAUUUCCUAAUAAGCAUCUCUGAAUUGUCAAGUUGUGAAGAAAAAAAGGAUAUCACGUUGCUCGAGGCAUGAAACCUAGUGCCAGAUUAUAAAGUUUCAUAUAUACUUUUCUGGUUUUAUUCAUAUAUCAUAUGGUGUGUCCACAAAUGGCACCACUGCAUGAGAUGCAUUAAUUCUGAACAUGCAAGUCUAGGACAGUGCUGCUCCAGUGACAAUAUAUGUGUCACAAUGAGCUGAGUUUCCAACAUAUCUAGUCAGCAGUUGGAUGAGUACUAUUUUCUCCUUAGUGGCUGCUGCCAGGUAGUGUGUUUCUUAUGUGGCUUUGUGCUGGCUGGCUAUAAUUAUGUAGGUGAUGCUGCUGAUCAUGAACCUAGGUAACACAGAAAUUGUGUAUUUAGUCGCCAUUUCUCUGUGCAAUGUGAUGGAUGAGAAUAAGAGUGGUGCCAUGUAUAUGUAGAACUAUUGUUGCUUUUGAGGAAAAGCCCAAGAAGCAAAUUAGGCUAUGACUCAAAUAAUCAUCACCAACUUUGUCACGCAAAGCAUUCUUCACAAUAGUCAUAGCUGGAAAACAUGUCUCAACAUUGGCAGUGGCAACUUGGAGAGUCAGUGCUAGCUUCAAAAGCCGAUAUACCAAAGGGUAGGAGAGAUGCUUCCUUGUAUCCACCAUCAGUUUAGCAAUCACCUAUUUUGUCCAAGCUAGAAAACCUUCUAUCAUGGGUUACAUCAUUUAUGUAGAUACUAAGUUCAUGUUCAAGAGUAACAUAUCUCUGUGACUAAAAUCAUCAGGAUAAAGCUUAGCUAAUUCCAACAACUUCUUGUCAAAAAAACAAAAUAAAUCACCUUUGCUCAAAGCAGACCCGUUGGUGGCGGCAGCCCCUGGGUUGUGGUGUUGCCAUCUCUUUAUUUCCUUGUCAAAUAUUGCUUCUUCAUUAAUUUUGUACAUAAUUUUGUAGGGGAAGAUGAUUCGUCUAUGUUAUCUUCAAGGACGACGCUAUGGAUGAUCACAUUGGCAAUGGCAUCACUCGAGUUUGCAACAUGACUGAGAACAUGAUGAUAACAACUAUGCAUCCGGAGGAGGAUCUCACUAGUCCGUUUGCACUUCAACUAAUGAGCGACAAUCGUAUGGUAUUUUGUUGCAGCAACUGUUAUAUGGAAUAUGAUGGAUGAGAAAUAGUAAAAUGAUGCGUAUGUAUGUGAUGCUGCUGAUCAUGAAUCUAGGUGACUUAGAAGUGUGUGUGUGUGUGUGUGUGUGUUUUGUUUCAUUGCCCUGUGCAAUGCGAUGGAUCAGAAUCAGAGUGGUUUCAUGUAUGCGUAGAAAUGUUUUUGCUUUUGAGCAAGUCCAUGUACAAAUUCUCGUAUGUCAAUUGCUGGAUGUUGAAACAUAGUUUAAUAUAUCGGUAUGUACGUAAACACUGAUUUUGGACGGCUUUCCUAAUAUAUGGGCUAUUGGAUGUAUGCUUAUUUAUCACUGAAUAUUUAUUGACAGGUUAUAGAACUAUCAAUUAG
rnacentral:lncRNA from 1 species